GAUGAACGCUAGCGGCAGGCCUAAUACAUGCAAGUCGAACGGUGUCUUCGGACAUAGUGGCGCACGGGUGCGUAACACGUACGCAACCUACCUUACAUUGGGGGAUAGCCUUUCGAAAGGGAGAUUAAUACCGCAUAAGACAGUAGCUGGGCAUCCAGCAGCUGUUAAAGAUUUAUCGAUGUAAGCUGGGCAUGCGUCCAAUUAGCUAGUUGGUGAGGUAACGGCUCACCAAGGCAAUGAUUGGUAGGGGAACUGAGAGGUCAAUCCCCCACACUGGCACUGAGAUACGGGCCAGACUCCUACGGGAGGCAGCAGUAGGGAAUAUUGGGCAAUGGACGCAAGUCUGACCCAGCCAUGCCGCGUGCAGGAUGAAGGCGUUAUGCGUUGUAAACUGCUUUUAUACAGGAAGAAACGACUCUUGCGAGAGGCAUUGACGGUACUGUAUGAAUAAGCACCGGCUAGCUCCGUGCCAGCAGCCGCCGUAAGAC
rnacentral:rRNA from 1 species